GGGGGAACUGAAACAUCUAAGUACCCCGAGGAAAAGAAAUCAACCGAGAUUCCCCCAGUAGCGGCGAGCGAACGGGGAGGAGCCCAGAGCCUGAAUCAGCAUGUGUGUUAGUGGAAGCGUCUGGAAAGGCGCGCGAUACAGGGUGACAGCCCCGUACACAAAAGCGCAUGUGCUGUGAGCUCGAUGAGUAGGGCGGGACACGUGGUAUCCUGUCUGAAUAUGGGGGGACCAUCCUCCAAGGCUAAAUACUCCUGACUGACCGAUAGUGAACCAGUACCGUGAGGGAAAGGCGAAAAGAACCCCGGCGAGGGGAGUGAAAAAGAACCUGAAACCGUGU
rnacentral:rRNA from 3 species